CCCUUAGAUGUUCUGGGCCGCACGCGCGCUACACUGACGAUGGCAACGAGUUUUUCCUUCGCCGAAAGGUGUGGGUAAUCUUUUGAAACAUCGUCGUGCUGGGGAUAGAUCAUUGCAAUUUUUGAUCUUGAACGAGGAAUUCCUAGUAAGCGCGAGUCAUCAGCUCGCGUUGAUUACGUCCCUGCCCUUUGUACACACCGCCCGUCGCUACUACCGAUUGAAUGGUUUAGUGAGGACUCCUGAUUGGCGCCGCCGCCCCAGCAACGGAGCAGCGGACUGCCGAAAAGGUGUUCAAACUUGAUCAUUUAGAGGAAGUAAAAGUCGUAACA
rnacentral:rRNA from 1 species